rnacentral:lncRNA from 1 species
UUCACCAAAAAUAAUAUUUUAACAUACCUUGUGAUCCUCUUGUAUAGGAGAUCAUUAAUUUCAAUCCAUGCAUUAGAUUCCAGCAUUCUUAGCCUUUAGAUUUGAAGAUUAUGAAGAACUAGGCCAAGAUAAUGUUCUUCCCUCUUUUUCUUGCUUCUGGGCGACGCACACACACAAAUCAGUGUGUGUUGUGUUUUAAUUUAUGUUUUUAUGAAUUACUCAUGACUAAUAAACUAGGUUAAUUAACCCUAGUUAUCAUCUUUUAUUCCAUAACUCAUGGAAACCGCACUAGUGGGUUAAAGAUUCAAGUUUUGGGGCGUUACAUUUUAUUAAUAUAUUGGAUUUACACAAGUGAGAAAUGGCUGGAAACACCAAGGGGGUUAGAACAAGGCUUGAAGUUGCAACUAUUUGAAGCUGUUAGAUGCAGGCAGGCUUUAAACUAUUUAUGCAACUAUUUGUAGUUGUUACAUGUAUAGCUCCUUUUGUUUGUAUGGUUCCUGUAUAGCCCAUAUCAUAUGAAUUGGGUUUUAUCAUAUUUUUUCACUAUCAUUUAGUUUAGUUCAACUGUUCAAGUUAUUAUAUUAGUGUAAGUAAAAUCUUUAACCGGUCUAUUUAUGUUAUUUGU